GAGGCCAGAGUGAAUGCUGUUGAGAAUUGUAAAGGUAUAAUUGGUAAAGAGUUAUCUACUCUUGAACUCAUGAAUGCUUAUUGUGCUAUCCACAAGGUGUUUGUGAGGAAUAGAGAUCUCAAUCACACUAAAAGAUAUUAGAAUAUUUUUUGAUUUUCAUACUUGAGAGUUAUGAAGUUCGAUAAAAUAGUGGGAGAUACAA
rnacentral:lncRNA from 1 species